UACGAGGGGAGCAAGCGUUGUUCGGAUUUACUGGGCGUAAAGGGCGCGUAGGCGGCCACGACAAGUCACUUGUGAAAUCUCCGGGCUUAACUCGGAACGGUCAAGUGAUACUGUCGGGCUAGAGUACAGAAGGGGCAACUGGAAUUCUCGGUGUAGCGGUGAAAUGCGUAGAUAUCGAGAGGAACACCGGUGGCGAAAGCGCUCUGCUGGGCCGCAACUGACACUAAUGGACGAAAGCUAGGGGAGCGAAUGGG
rnacentral:rRNA from 1 species